AGUGAACGCUGGCGGUAGGCCUAACACAUGCAAGUCGAACGGCAGCACAGUAAGAGCUUGCUCUUACGGGUGGCGAGUGGCGGACGGGUGAGGAAUACAUCGGAAUCUACUUUUUCGUGGGGGAUAACGUAGGGAAACUUACGAUAAUACCGCAUACGACCUACGGGUGAAAGCAGGGGAUCUUCGGACCUUGCGCGAUUGAAUGAGCCGAUGUCGGAUUAGCUAGUUGGCGGGGUAAAGGCCCACCAAGGCGACGAUCCGUAGCUGGUCUGAGAGGAUGAUCAGCCACACUGGAACUGAGACACGGUCCAGACUCCUACGGGAGGCAGCAGUGGGGAAUAUUGGACAAUGGGCGCAAGCCUGAUCCAGCCAUACCGCGUGAGUGAAGAAGGCCUUCGGGUUGUAAAGCCCUUUUGUUGGGAAAGAAAAGCAGCAGGUUAAUACCCCGCUGUUCUGACGGUACCCAAAGAAUAAGCACCGGCUAACUUCGUG
rnacentral:rRNA from 1 species